rnacentral:rRNA from 1 species
AUUGAACGCUGGCGGCAGGCCUAACACAUGCAAGUCGAGCGAGCGGCGGACGGGUGAGAAAUGUCUGGGAAACUGCCUGAUGGAGGGGGAUAAAUACUGGAAACGGUAGCUAAUACCGCAUACCAUCAGAUGUGCCCAGAUGGGAUUAGCUAGUAGGUGGGGUAACGGCUCACCUAGGCGAGGAUCCCUAGCUGUUCUGAGAGGAUGACCAGCCAAACUGGAACUGGGAAACGGUCCAGACUCCUAAGGGAGGCAGCAGUGGGGAAUAUUGCACAAUGGGCGCAAGCCUGAUCCAGCCAUGCCGCGUGUGUGAAGAAGGCCUUAUGUUUGUAAAGCACUUUAAGCGAGGAGGCGUUACUCGCAGAAUAAGCACCGGCUAACUCGGUGCCAGCAGCCGCGGUAAUAC